UCUGACAACAUCUUUCUCUAUUGACCAGGGCCCGGCUCCUCAGGUGGCAAGGUGCUCCGGCGUGCCCCUGCUGAUCUCCUGCUCGUGGAACAACUGCAUCAGCAGGAACACAUGCUGCAUCUGGUUUUGGUUCCCCUCCCUCCCACAAUUGCAUCUUCAGAACACCUGCAUCACACACAUACACACAGUGCUCAGGGUUCAUAAAAAGGGGAACAUCGCACCCCGCACACACCGCCAACCGAAUUCCCACCCUACUGCUUGGGCAGCGCUGUCGCCGUCGUGCGUGGGGGAACCAGCACUGUACCAAGGUCAAGUGCACCAAGCUCAUCCAUUGUGGUUUAGAUCAGCUUUUGCCUUUCCUUGAAUGCUCUUGUUCAUAUUUAUGCAUGUUUCCUGAUUCCCCUUUUCUCAUUUGUGAUGUGAUGCUCAUACGAAAAGGAAGAGUAAGAAGAAAUUUAUGAAAGAUGGUAAAUUGGCAAUAGAAGAACAUGUAGGUGUAGAAGCUGGUUGAUGCUGGCAAUUGGACUCUUAUCUCAGAGUAAAUUAGCUUCAGAUAUCAGAAUAGUACACUGGUUCAGAAAUCAGAAUAACUACUAUCUGGGUGCAACUUGCUGGCAGGGCAGUUAAAUUAUAUAUCUUAUUUUUCAUUGUAUCUUGCUUAUUACUUUUACAAAUUAGUGUUCAAGACAAUCUUCUGUUGUUGCAUUCCAGCAAGUUAGCUUACAGCCGAAGAUAGUUUUUCCAAUCCAAAUGGUGUAGGUCGAACAAAACUUAUGGCUGGGGUAAAAAUAUUUGUGGUGAUCAGCAUCUUCCUCUCGCUUUGCUGUUAAGAUGUCGACGCGGCGCUACGCACCGGAUGAUUUAUACUAUUACCAUGUUUUUUAUGUUGGGUCUGAGAAACUAGAGAAUUCAUGCCUCUUUGCCAUGCCAAGAGUAUUCUAGGGAUUUCUUAUGAAUAUACUGUAUGUAAUAUGGGAUGGCUAUUUUGAUUAAGAGAUCAAUUUUUAUGCAGGUUUAUCUACACUCUUCUCAGCCUGGGAAUCAUCAUGUGCUUGCUGACCUACUCGGGCCACAUCGCCGCUGAAACUGCAAACAGCCCCUGCCUAUCUUGUCACGUGAUCUUUGUAUUCUUGCUUGUGAUACUGGAAGCUGCAAUCGCCACCGAUGUAUUUCUGAAUAGCUACUGGGAGGAGGACAAAUCCCACCAGUCUUGGCUCUAAUUGAAGUUAUCAUAAGAGCAAGUAAUCAGCACUUGUUGUUCUGUUUUCUGAUUCUAUUGAGAAAGCUCAAAAUUUGCAGUGUUUGCAUCGUGGAUGCCGUUGACGGUGGGCAUAAAUGCUACAGUGGAGCUCAUUGCAUCUUUGAGCUUCAUGCUUUGUGUGAACUUGGAACUCGUGCUUUUGUUUGUGAACCUUGUUGGAUAUGUACGCAUGUGUGGACUCGGAACUUAUGGUCCUUUUGUUUGCGAACUAUUGUUGCAUAUGUACGCAUGUGUGGACUUUCGUUGGAUAUAUAUUGCUUGCUGGAUCUUUAUAUUGCUGCAUAUAUAUUGUUGGUCAUUUUGCUUCCUGGAUCAAUAUAUUGCUGGAUAUAUAUUGUUAGUCA